rnacentral:rRNA from 1 species
GCUGGAUCGCUAGUAAUCGCGCAUCAGCCAUGGCGCGGUGAAUACGUUCCCGGGCCUUGUACACACCGCCCGUCAAGCCAUGAAAGCCGGGGGUGCCUGAAGUCCGUGACCGCGAGGGUCGGCCUAGGGUAAAACUGGUGAUUGGGGCUAAGUCGUAACAAGGUAGC